rfam:Asian citrus Psyllid, Diaphorina citri - Florida Strain, whole genome shotgun sequence.
GCCUAGUUAGCUUGGUUGGUAGCGCGUCUGCCUUGUAAGCGCUAGGUGGCGGGUUCGAUUCCCGCCCGGGGCG